rnacentral:rRNA from 1 species
GAAGAAGGGACUGCUCCUGAUGUUAGCGGCGGACGGGUGAGUAACACGUGGGUAACCUGCCUGUAAGACUGGGAUAACUCCGGGAAACCGGGGCUAAUACCGGAUGGUUGUUUGAACCGCAUGGUUCAAACAUAAAAGGUGGCUUCGGCUACCACUUACAGAUGGACCCGCGGCGCAUUAGCUAGUUGGUGAGGUAACGGCUCACCAAGGCAACGAUGCGUACCCGACCUGAGAGGGUGAUCGGCCACACUGGGACUGAGACACGGCCCACACUCCUACGGGAGGCAGCAGUAGGGAAUCUUCCGCAAUGGACGAAAGUCUGACGGAGCAACGCCGCGUGAGUGAUGAAGGUUUUCGGAUCGUAAAGCUCUGUUGUUAGGGAAGAACAAGUACCGUUCGAAUAGGGCGGUACCUUGACGGUACCUAACCAGAAAGCCACGGCUAACUACGUGCCAGCAGCCGCGGUAAUACGUAUGUGGCAAGCGUUGUCCGGAAUUAUUGGGCGUAAAGGGCUCGCAGGCGGUUUCUUAAGUCUGAUGUGAAAGCCCCCGGCUCAACCGGGGAGGGUCAUUGGAAACUGGGGAACUUGAGUGCAGAAGAGGAGAGUGGAAUUCCACGUGUAGCGGUGAAAUGCGUAGAGAUGUGGAGGAACACCAGUGGCGAAGGCGACUCUCUGGUCUGUAACUGACGCUGAGGAGCGAAAGCGUGGGGAGCGAACAGGAUUAGAUACCCUGGUAGUCCACGCCGUAAACGAUGAGUGCUAAGUGUUAGGGGGUUUCCGCCCCUUAGUGCUGCAGCUAACGCAUUAAGCACUCCGCCUGGGGAGUACGGUCGCAAGACUGAAACUCAAAGGAAUUGACGGGGGCCCGCACAAGCGGUGGAGCAUGUGGUUUAAUUCGAAGCAACGCGAAGAACCUUACCAGGUCUUGACAUCCUCUGACAAUCCUAGAGAUAGGACGUCCCCUUCGGGGGCAGAGUGACAGGUGGUGCAUGGUUGUCGUCAGCUCGUGUCAUGAGAUGUUGGGUUAAGUCCCGCAACGAGCGCAACCCUUGAUCUUAGUUGCCAGCAUUCAGUUGGGCACUCUAAGGUGACUGCCGGUGACAAACCGGAGGAAGGUGGGGAUGACGUCAAAUCAUCAUGCCCCUUAUGACCUGGGCUACACACGUGCUACAAUGGACAGAACAAAGGGCAGCGAAACCGCGAGGUUAAGCCAAUCACACAAAUCUGUUCUCAGUUCGGAUCGCAGUCUGCAACUGGAUCUGCGUGAAGACUGGAAUCGCGUAGUAACUCGCUGGAUCAGCAUGCCGCGGUGAAUACGUUCCCGGGCCUUGUACACACCGCCCGUCACGCCGACGAGAGUUUGUAACACCCGAAGUCGGUGAGGUAACCUCUAGGAUCCAGCCGCCGAAGGUGGAGAGAUAUGCGAUCCUUU